AGAGUUUGAUCCUGGCUCAGAACGAACGCUGGCGGCGGGCCUCAUACAUGCAAGUCGAGCGCGAAAGUCCGCAAGGAUGAGUAAAGCGGCGCACGGGUGAGUAACACGUGGAUAAUCUACCCUUUGGAUUGGAAUAACCUGUCGAAAGACGGGCUAAUGCCGAGUAAGCUCUCGGGAGCGUGAAGCUCUUGCGAGGAAAGAUGGCGCAAGCUAUCGCCGAUGGAUGAGUCUGCGUCCCAUUAGUUAGUUGGUGAGGUAACAGCUUACCAAGACGAUGAUGGGUACCUGGUCUGAGAGGAUGAUCAGGSACACUGGAACUGAAACACGGUCCAGACUCCUACGGGAGGCAGCAGUAGGGAAUAUUGCGCAAUGGACGAAAGUCUGACGCAGCCACGCCGCGUGAGUGAGGAAGGCCUUCGGGUUGUAAAGCUCUGUCAUCCGGGAAAAACGGCUAUCUGGGGAAAGUUCAGGUAGCGUGAUGGCACCGGAGGAGGAAGCACCGGCAAACUCUGUGCCAGCAGCCGCGGUAAUAC
rnacentral:rRNA from 1 species